UCACUGUGCUCUACAAACUCGUAGUGUCUGAACUGCUCUGUAAUAUUUUGCCUAAAUGCAAGUCUUAUCACCAGUUUCUGACUCUGAUGCAAUCUUUGCUUGUUUGUGCACAGGAAACAUAGUGACUGAUUCUGAGCUUAUGAUGUUGGAGAUGAAGCCGAUAAACGUUGAGCUGUAGUUGAUCUAACUGCAGUUAUUAGAAACCAGAGGAGACACUGGAGGAGAAAUACAGCUGAUGAAUCAGUGAAGUCAGAGGGCAGGAGAUAGAAGUGAUACCAGGUAAGCAGAUAUGCCCGACUAUAUAAAUCAUAUGAGUUAUUAAUCAUACCUCAUAACACGAUGUUCACACAGUUCAAUUUGUUACAAACAGCAGAGACGUAGCAAUGAUACAGGAUGCUUUCACACAUUAAAAUAAGAAAAAAAAUAUUUUUUAAUCAGACUUUUUAAAUGUAGUCCUACAGUACGUUGUUUUUUUACAACUGUAGGGUGCACAAAAUACUGGCAUAGUUGCUCAUUCUCCAUUGAUUCCAUUUGACUCUAGUGCAAGCCAAGAGACUGAAGACCCAUUCAAUAUGGCAGCGACGCUGGAUUACACUCCAGCAAGUAAUGAGGCAUCUACGUAUAUAUAUGUCUAUGGUUUUAGACUGCUUCUCUUCCAUAGGGGUGUCUCAGUCUCCAUACAAAUGGUCCAUGAAGCUGGAGAUGAUGACAUUACA